rnacentral:rRNA from 1 species
GACGAACGCUGGCGGCGUGCCUAAUACAUGCAAGUAGGACGCAGUUGCGAACGGGUGAGUAACGCGUAGGUAACUACCUAUCAGAGGGGGAUAACUAUUGGAAACGAAAGCUAAUACCGCAUACUAGUAGAUGGAUCUGCGUUUUAUUAGCUAGUAGGUAGGGUAAUGGCCUACCUAGGUAACGAUACAUAGCCGACCUGGGAAGGUGAUCGACCACACUUGGACUGAGACACGGCCCAGACUCCUUCGGGGGGCAGCAGUAGGGAAACUUCGGAAAUGGGGGGAAACCUGGCCGAACAACGCCGCGGGGGUGAAGAAGGUUUUCGGGUCGUAAAGCUCUGUUGUUAAGGAAGCGGUACUUAACCAGAAAGGGACGGCUAACUACGUGCCAGCAGCCGCGGUAAUUC